GGGGGUGACUGGUUUCGACAAAAGAAUCCUUCCGAUUCGUGCAUGACGGUGAAUGCUGGAGAACACCUAAAACCUCGAGCACCAAACGUGUGAAAACGUUUAAAGCAGGGCUUUCGCCUAUUCAGGCUUCUGACCUUGCUCUCGUCUACGCGUAAAGCCUAGCGAGCGCCAAACUCCUGAUGUCUGAUACGGAGUUCUUGGUGUCAUAACAUCAGGCUUUGAGUUGCCGGCUGUUCACUGGCCACUCGAAUUCACCGAACUCGGCGCAUGUCAUUUUGUUCGUUCUCUACCCAUGCGCUUAAAUCCGCUUCGCGGAUGAAAACGGACUACGUCUUGUAGAAACGUUUCGGUUACUCUUUUGGACGAGGGUUCAUUACCCUCCACCUCCACAA
rnacentral:tmRNA from 1 species